rnacentral:tRNA from 1 species
GCCUGGAUGGCUCAGUCAGUUGAGCGUCUGACUUCGGCUCAGGUCAUGAUCUCGCGGUCUGUGAGUUCGAGCCCCACGUCGGGCU